AACCCAUGAUGAAGACACUUUUUGAUUAGGUCCUUGUAUCUCUCCUAGGCUUCAUAUAGAGACUCAUUGUCAUGUUACAUGAAAUUGUUAAUCUCUGAUCUCAGUCU